rnacentral:rRNA from 1 species
AGCCUUUAGCUCUAAUUAAAGGUGAUACCUGCCCAGUGGAGGUAAAUUGAUUAAUUAUAAUCUAUUUUUAAUAUCUUUAAACGGAUGCGGUAACUCUGACUGUAAUAAAGUAGCAUAAUUAGUUGUCAUUUAAUUGGUGGAGAGAAUGAAUGGUUAAACGAACGCUUCAUUGUCUUAGAGGGGAGUUUUUGAAAUUAGAAAAAUAGUGAAGAUCCUAUUUUUUACCGUUAGACGAAAAGACCCUAUAGAGCUUAACUAUAAUCCGUAAUAAUUUUGUUAUGGGUGGGUAGUUUAGUUGGGGCGACUAUCUUUUAUAAAUAACAAAGAUAAGCAUAAUAAUAUAAUUUAAUUACUGUUUAACUAAUUUUUUUAACAGUUACUAAAGUAGGCUAUAAUGACCCAUUAGGUAAAGAAAUUCACCUAAUGAUUAAUAAAUAAAAGCUACCUUAGGGAUAACAGGAUAAUUUUGUUUUAGAGAUCAAAUCAAAUACAAAGUUUGUCACCUCUAUGUUGAAUUGAGAUAACCAAACAAUGCAGAAGUUGUUUAAGGUAGGUCUGUUCGACCUUUAAAAUCUU